rnacentral:miRNA from 1 species
AGGCAGAUCAAUCAAUUUUUAGG